UCUUAUGCGGCCAGAAGUAGCACCUGCCUCCACUCUGACACACCUGUGCCCCUCAGCCAACAGAGGGCCCUCUAGCCACCAAGGCAUACACCUUUCUUGGAAAGCAAAAAGAGGUUCUUCGAAAAACGGAGGCGCCGCUAACAGAACUGGGCCGAGGAGAUCAUCUGCGGUGGCGGGCUGGCCACUUGCUCCGAGAGUACGGGAUUUAUGGUUCUGGCGUGCCAGGAGGAAACGCCUCGUCGCCAGAUGGAAUUCAGACCCGGGAGUGCGUUUGCUUCCCGGGGCCAGAGACAAGGACUGGGCAGGAUCAGGAAGAGGACAAUUCCUCCAUCGAGUUGUGAAAGGGGGAAACGGAGAAUGAGCCAAGUUGGAGGUCAAGGACCAAGCCUGGAGAUACGAUCAGAGGCCAAGAGGAAAAGGAAACACAGGCGUGAUAAGUGAUGUGGCGGGAGACAGAGGGCGAACCCCGAGCGCGUGUCAGGGAAAGGGUGGGGGGACAGUUCACGGUGUCAACUGCCCCAAGGCAGGCGAGGAGGAUUUACAUGAUGAAAGACGUGUGUCCAGACUUACUGGUUGAGUACCUAUUACGUACAGGUGCUAGUCACAAGGUGAGCAAGACAGAGAGAGAGAGAGAGAGGGGGGGGGCAAAAGAUGUGUCCUCUGGCCUCGCGGAGUUUCCAGUCUAGAGAAGACAGCAGGCAUUCGUCAGAACCAAACUCACACGGUCCUAAAGGCAGAGUCAUCUCUGAGCCCCAGCCUCUGUCCUGGAGGAAGUGAGCUGAAGAGGGAGGACAGACAGAGAGCCCACCGAUUAAGCGGUAGUCGAUGCGGUCCUCCAGCUUGUUGCUGCGGUGGCUCUUGUCGAUGCUGAGGACGAAGAGGUUGAUGUAGGCGUCCAGCGAGAACUGGUACAUGGGGUCGAUACGGCCAUGUCGUUGAGCACGAAGAACAGAACCGACGCCCUCUGGGCACAAGGGCGCUGCUCGGUCACUUCGGUGGCGGUCAUCUUGGAGGUACGAAGGGUGUUCACCAGCUGCACGUCGUCGAGCAGGGAGCCCGUGGCCUCAUUCAGCAGCCUGAAGGGGAAGCGCAGGUAGGCGGGUGGGGAGGCGGGGAGUCCUCCCGCCCCAGCCCGCCACACCCGGGAUUCUGGCUGGGCUGGGCGGUGGGUGGCAGCGGCGGGUGCACCCUCACCGAAGGAUCUCGUCCUCCAGCUCCUUGAGCUUCCUCUUGCCGGCAGCGAUGUUGAUGACCAGUGAGUCCUUCUGUUCCUCCAGCUCCGGCCGCUCCUUCCGCACCACGAUGCCCAGCAGCUGAGCCUCCAGGCCCUGGGAGCACGGGGACGCGCGGUGGGACUCGCGCUCUGGUGAAGGCACACCCCUGGCACCCGGUCACGCCUCCCCCCACCUGUCCCCCGCCGCCCAGCGCAGGGGGCCUUUGUCUCCACCCCGCUGACUCUCCGGGUGCUUCCUGCUCCUCGAUAGCUGGGUCCAGGCUGCAGCCCCCGCCCCCGCCCCCACCUGUUCCUUGACGGCAAAGUUGACGAUGGUGGUCUUGGCCGAGGUCUCAGGACUGUAGUGGGGGUUGGAGAGCUUGGUGGUGAUGUAGAAACGGAAAUUGC